ACACUGUGUUACCUUCCUUUCAAUUUUCAGUGAAAAAGUAGAAGUGCUCCUAUUGAGAUGAAAUUAGCCACACAUAUACUCAGAAAAAGGUGCUCUUUAUUCUGCAGGUGGAAUGGGACAGGAGGACGGACCUUAGAAAUUUGGCUUCAGAAAACAGCAAGAUCUUACUUUUUUUUUUUUUUUCAUUGUCAAAAGUGCUCUUAUUGAGCUGGCUUCACCCUCAGAAAAAGGUGCUGUUUAUUCUGAAGGUGGAAUGGGACAGUGGGAUGGACCUUAGAAAUUUGGCUUCAGAAAACAGCAAGAGGAAGUAUUGUCUUACCUUUUGUAUUACCUUGGAACACUGUGUUACCUUCCUUUCAAUUUUCAGUGAAAAAGUAAAAGUGCUCCUAUUGAGAUGAAAUUAGCCACACAUAUCCUCAGAAAAAGGUGCUCUUUAUUCUGCAGGUGGAAUGGGACAGGAGGACGGACCUUAGAAAUUUGGCUUCAGAAAACAGCAAGAGGUGGGAUGCGACAUGAAGAACCAUCAAAAUUUGACUUAAGAAAACACCAAGAGUUUGGAUGGGACAGCAGGAACUACCAUCGAAAUUGGUUUCGCUGCUACAGCACACACGCUACACAGCUACACACUGCUACAGCGAAGAGGACAAUGUGUGUUCGAAAUUUGGCCGCAGAAGACUCAAACUUCAUUCCGAGUUUCAGUUGGUGUGUAAUUGUCAUUGAGUUGCAUUUAUGCUAUUAAAAUCUCUGUCUCAU